UGCGACUUAACAAGGUGUUUCAU
rnacentral:siRNA from 1 species